CAGCAGCCACGGGAAUACGGAGGGAGCUAGCGUUGUUCGGAAUUACUGGGCGUAAAGCGCGCGUAGGCGGUUACUCAAGUCAGAGGUGAAAGCCCGGGGCUCAACCCCGGAACUGCCUUUGAAACUAGGUGGCUAGAAUCUUGGAGAGGUCAGUGGAAUUCCGAGUGUAGAGGUGAAAUUCGUAGAUAUUCGGAAGAACACCAGUGGCGAAGGCGACUGACUGGACAAGUAUUGACGCUGAGGUGCGAAAGCGUGGGGAGCAAACAGGAUUAGAUACCCGCGUAGUCCCUGUCUCUUAUAC
rnacentral:rRNA from 1 species